rnacentral:rRNA from 1 species
UACGUAGGGUGCAAGCGUUGUCCGGAAUUAUUGGGCGUAAAGAGCUCGUAGGCGGUCUGUCGCGUCUGCUGUGAAAAUCAGGGCUCAACCCUGGACCUGCAGUGGGUACGGGCAGACUAGAGUGCGGUAGGGGAGAUCGGAAUUCCUGGUGUAGCGGUGAAAUGCGCAGAUAUCAGGAGGAACACCGGUGGCGAAGGCGGAUCUCUGGGCAUUACCUGACGCUGAGGAGCGAAAGUGUGGGGAGCGAACAGG